rnacentral:snRNA from 1 species
GUGCUCCCUUCAGCAGCAAAUAUACUAAAAUUUAAAUGAUACAGAGAAGAUCAGAUGGCCCCUGAGCAAGGAUGACAUGCAAAAUUUAUAAACUGCUCCAUAUCUUU